AAUAAGCGGAGGAAAAGAAACCAACCGGGAUUGCCUCAGUAACGGCGAGUGAAGCGGCAAGAGCUCAAAUUUGAAAGCUGGCUCCUUCGGGGUCCGCAUUGUAAUUUGCAGAGGAUGCUUCGGGUGCAGCCCCCGUCUAAGUGCCCUGGAACGGGCCGUCAUAGAGGGUGAGAAUCCCGUAUGGGGCGGGGUGUCUGCGUCCGUGUGAAGCUCCUUCGACGAGUCGAGUUGUUUGGGAAUGCAGCUCUAAAUGGGUGGUAAAUUUCAUCUAAAGCUAAAUACUGGCCGGAGACCGAUAGCGCACAAGUAGAGUGAUCGAAAGAUGAAAAGCACUUUGAAAAGAGAGUUAAACAGCACGUGAAAUUGUUGAAAGGGAAGCGCUUGCAACCAGACUCGCUCGCGGGGUUCAGCCGGGCUUCGGCCCGGUGUACUUCCCCGUGGGCGGGCCAGCGUCCGUUUGGGCGGCCGGUCAAAGGCCUCCGGAAUGUAGCGCCCUUCGGGGCGCCUUAUAGCCGGGGGUGCAAUGCGGCCAGCCUGGACCGAGGAACG
rnacentral:rRNA from 1 species